rnacentral:rRNA from 1 species
AACGAACGCUGGCGGCAGGCCUAACACAUGCAAGUCGAGCGGUAAGGCCCUUUCGGGGGUACACGAGCGGCGAACGGGUGAGCAACACGUGGGUGACCUGCCCUCAGCUCUGGGAUAAGCCUGGGAAACCGGGUCUAAUACUGGAUAUGACUCCAUGACGCAUGUUGUGGGGUGGAAAGCCUUGUGCGGCUGAGGAUGGGCCCGCGGCCUAUCAGCUUGUUGGUGGGGUGAUGGCCUACCAAGGCGACGACGGGUAGCCGGCCUGAGAGGGCGACCGGCCACACUGGGACUGAGACACGGCCCAGACUCCUACGGGAGGCAGCAGUGGGGAAUCUUGCGCAAUGGGCGAAAGCCUGACGCAGCGACGCCGCGUGAGGGAUGACGGCCU